rnacentral:rRNA from 1 species
AUGGUGCAGCGGCUGACAUACCGAAAGCGCCACAGCUACGCCACGAAGUCGAACCAGACUCGCGUCGUCAAGACCCCAGGUGGGAGGCUUGUGUACCAGUACACCAAGAAGCGGGCGAGUGGGCCAAAAUGCCCGGUUACCGGCAAGAAGAUCCAAGGAAUUCCACACCUGAGGCCUACUGAGUACAAGAGGUCCAGAUUGUCAAGGAACAGGAGGACUGUGAACCGUCCUUAUGGUGGUGUUCUGUCUGGUCCUGCAGUCAGGGAGAGGAUCAUCAGGGCGUUUUUGGUGGAGGAGCAGAAGAUUGUGAAGAAGGUGCUGAAGAUCCAGAAGACCAAGGAGAAGACCACCAAGAGCUAA